rnacentral:rRNA from 1 species
GACGAACGCUGGCGGCGUGCUUAACACAUGCAAGUGGAGCGACGAACCAGGGCUUGCCCUGGGGCAGAGCCGCGAACGGGUGAGUAACACGUGGGUAACGUGCCCCGAUGACUGGGACAACCCGAGGAAACUCGGGCUAAAUACCGGAUAUCGCCCCCUCACGAGAGGUGAGGUGUAGUAAAGGAGCUUCGGCCUCCGCAGUCGGGAGUCCGGCCCGCGGCGCAUUAGCUUGUUGGUGGGGUAACGGCCACCAAGGCGACGAUGCGUAGCUGGUCUGAGAGGACGAUCAGCCACACUGGGACUGAGACACGG